rnacentral:rRNA from 1 species
UGCCAGCCGCCGCGGUAAUACGGAGGGUGCAAGCGUCGUUCGGAAUUACUAGGCGUAAAGCGCGCGUAGGCGGCUUUUUAAGUCAGAUGUGAAAGUCCACGGCUCAACCGUGGAAGUGCACUUGAAACUGGGAGGCCUGAGUAUUGGAGGGGGUGGUGGAAUUCCCGGUGUAGAGGUGAAAUUCGUAGAUAUCAGGAGGAACACCGGUGGCGAAGGCGACCAUCUGGGACGGAACUGACGCUGAUGAACGAAAGCUAGGGUAUCAAACGGGAUUAGAUA